AGAGCGAACGCUGGCGGCAGGCUUAACACAUGCAAGUCGAACGGACCCUUCGGGGUUAGUGGCGGACGGGUGAGUAACACGUGGGAACGUGCCUUUUGGUUCGGAACAACACAGGGAAACUUGUGCUAAUACCGGAUGUGCCCUUCGGGGGAAAGAUUUAUCGCCAUUAGAGCGGCCCGCGUCUGAUUAGCUAGUUGGUGGGGUAAAAGCCUACCAAGGCGACGAUCAGUAGCUGGUCUGAGAGGAUGACCAGCCACAUUGGGACUGAGACACGGCCCAAAACUCCUACGGGAGGCAGCAGUGGGGAAUCUUGCGCAAUGGCGAAAGCCUGACGCAGCCAUGCCGCGUGAAUGAUGAAGGUCUUAGGAUUGUAAAAUUCUUUCACCGGGACGAUAAUGACGGUACCGGAGAAGAACGCCCGGCUAACUUCGCGCCAGCAGCCGC
rnacentral:rRNA from 1 species